UGCACGCCGAAGUCUAUCUUAUCUUAUGAGCGAAAUGCCACUGGAAGCUCUUAAUGAUGCACUGCAAGCCCAAGUAAUAUCCCCCAUUUGGCAUAUUGCAUCUUAUUUACAAGCAGCAGCUCUUUUUGCUUUGGGAAGGGAGAGCGAGGCACAAGCAGCUCUUAAAGAGGGCUCAAUGCAUGAAAAUAAAAAAACAACAAACUCUUGAUGAUAGAAAAUGAUGAAGCUCAAUAAAUCUUGAAUUGCUGUUCCUUGAGAUGACUACAAAGGGCAAACCCAAACUUAGUUUCCAGG
rnacentral:misc_RNA from 1 species